UACGUAGGUGGCAAGCGUUGUCCGGAUUUACUGGGCGUAAAGGGAGCGUAGGCGGACUUUUAAGUGAGAUGUGAAAUACCCGGGCUCAACUUGGGUGCUGCAUUUCAAACUGGAAGUCUAGAGUGCAGGAGAGGAGAAUGGAAUUCCUAGUGUAGCGGUGAAAUGCGUAGAGAUUAGGAAGAACACCAGUGGCGAAGGCGAUUCUCUGGACUGUAACUGACGCUGAGGCUCGAAAGCGUGGGGAGCAAACAGGAUUAGAUACCCCUGUA
rnacentral:rRNA from 1 species